rnacentral:rRNA from 1 species
UACGUAGGGUGCAAGCGUUGUCCGGAUUUAUUGGGUUUAAAGGGUGUGUAGGCGGUCCUGUAAGUCAGUGGUGAAAUACUCUAGCUUAACUAGAGGGGUGCCAAUGAUAUUGCAGGGCUUGAGUACAGAUGAGGUAGGCGGAAUUGACGGUGUAGCGGUGAAAUGCAUAGAUAUCGUCAAGAACACCGAUAGCGAAGGCAGUUUACUGGGCUGUAACUGACGCUGAUGCACGAAAGUGUGGGGAUCAAACAGG